AUCAUCAACUCUGUCACGUGA
rnacentral:miRNA from 1 species